rnacentral:rRNA from 1 species
GCCAGACUCCUACGGGAGGCAGCAGUGGGGGAUAUUGCACAAUGGGGGAAACCCUGAUGCAGCGACGCCGCGUGAGUGAAGAAGUAUUUCGGUAUGUAAAGCUCUAUCAGCAGGGAAGAAGAAAGACGGUACCUGAGUAAGAAGCCCCGGCUAACUACGUGCCAGCAGCCGCGGUAAUACGUAGGGGGCAAGCGUUAUCCGGAUUUACUGGGUGUAAAGGGAGCGUAGACGGUAUGGCAAGUCUGAAGUGAAAGCCCCGGGCUCAACCUGGGAACUGCUUUGGAAACUGUUAAACUAGAGUGCUGGAGAGGCAGGCGGAAUUCCUAGUGUAGCGGUGAAAUGCGUAGAUAUUAGGAGGAACACCAGUGGCGAAGGCGGCCUGCUGGACAGUAACUGACGUUGAGGCUCGAAAGCGUGGGGAGCAAACAGGAUUAGAUACCCCUGUAAAG